GACGAACGCUGGCGGCGUGCCUAAUACAUGCAAGUCGAACGCUUUUUCUUUCACCGGAGCUUGCUCCACCGAAAGAAAAAGAGUGGCGAACGGGUGAGUAACACGUGGGUAACCUGCCCAUCAGAGGGGGAUAACACUUGGAAACAGGUGCUAAUACCGUAUAACACUAUUUUCCGCAUGGAAGAAAGUUGAAAGGCGCUUUUGCGUCACUGAUGGAUUGACCCGCGGUGCAUUAGCUAGUUGGUGAGGUAACGGCUCACCAAGGCAACGAUGCAUAGCCGACCUGAGAGGGUGAUCGGCCACACUGGGACUGAGACACGGCCCAGACUCCUACGGGAGGCAGCAGUAGGGAAUCUUCGGCAAUGGACGAAAGUCCGACCGAGCAACGCCGCGUGAGUGAAGAAGGUUUUCGGAUCGUAAAACUCUGUUGUUAGAGAAGAACAAGGAUGAGAGUAGAACGUUCAUCCCUUGACGGUAUCUAACCAGAAAGCCACGGCUAACUACGUGCCAGCAGCCGCAGUAA
rnacentral:rRNA from 1 species